AAAAACUUCAAAUACCACUUUUGUGAUUUCGUAUUUUUUCACUUUAGUACUCUAUAGUUUAAAGUGUAUUAAUUUAGUACUCUGUGGUUUCGUACUUUCUUACUCUAGUACCUGUGGUUUAAAGUGCAUCAAUUUAGUACGCUGUGGUUUUAUUUUUUUCUUUUUGUCGGCUCCUCUGUUAAUAUUUUGUUAAAUUAUAUACAAAAAAUUUUAGAUAUCCUAUCUAGGUUUAUUGAAUAUUUACUUUACUAUCCUUUAGUUUUAACUUUGUCACUGAUUUUUUUUCCUCCAUUAAUAUUUCGUUAAAUUAUAUACAAAAAACUUCAGAUACCCUACCUAGCUUUGUCCAAUAUUAACUUUAGUAUACUUUAAUUUUAACUUUGUCACUAAUUUAACAAAAGAAAUUAGUGAAAUGAAUAAUAAAAAGAGAAAAAUGAAACCAAAUGGUACUAAUUUGAUACACUUUAAACCACAAAGUUUUAAAGUGAGAAAGUGCGAAACCACAGAGGCUAACUUGAUACACUUUAAACCACAUGAUACUAAAGUGAGAAAGUAUGAAACCAUAAAGUGAGAAUGUGACCACUGGCUCUAAUACUACUUGUCGGAUCAUUGGUGCUAACCAUUAAUUAUAAAAACUCGAGCGGUUAGAAAUACGCAACUAAUUCAUUUAAAGCAUACAGAUACAUCGUCCACGGGUCAUGAUUGUGACUCGGCUCAACCAACCUCAUGCCACUUCGAACAUGACUCGGCCCAUCCAGCCUCACUCCAUUUCGAAUAUGACUCGACCCAACAUGACCUCUGGUCACAGAGCAGGAUGCUUAUCCAUUUAAGCCAACAGCUUCUAGAAAAGUAUUCU
rnacentral:lncRNA from 1 species